AUUGAACGCUGGCGGCAGGCUUAACACAUGCAAGUCGAGCGGAGAUGAGGUGCUUGCACCUUAUCUUAGCGGCGGACGGGUGAGUAAUGCUUAGGAAUCUGCCUAUUAGUGGGGGACAACAUUCCGAAAGGAAUGCUAAUACCGCAUACGCCCUACGGGGGAAAGCAGGGGAUCUUCGGACCUUGCGCUAAUAGAUGAGCCUAAGUCGGAUUAGCUAGUUGGUGGGGUAAAGGCCUACCAAGGCGACGAUCUGUAGCGGGUCUGAGAGGAUGAUCCACCACACUGGGACUGGGACACGGCCCAGACUCCUACGGGAGGCAGCAGUGGGGAAUAUUGGACAAUGGGCGGAAGCCUGAUCCAGCCAUGCCGCGUGUGUGAAGAAGGCCUUUUGGUUGUAAAGCACUUUAAGCGAGGAGGAGGCUACCUGGAUUAAUACUCUAGGAUAGUGGACGUUACUCGCAGAAUAAGCACCGGCUAACUCUGUGCCAGCAGCCGCAGUAACAC
rnacentral:rRNA from 1 species